AUUGAACGCUGGCGGCAUGCCUUACACAUGCAAGUCGAACGGUAACAGGUCUUCGGAUGCUGACGAGUGGCGAACGGGUGAGUAAUACAUCGGAACGUGCCUAGUAGUGGGGGAUAACUACUCGAAAGAGUGGCUAAUACCGCAUGAGAUCUACGGAUGAAAGCAGGGGAUCGCAAGACCUGGGGCUACUAGAUCGGCCGAUGCCAGACUAGGUAGUUGGUGUGAUAAAAGAUUACCAAGCCGACGAUCUGUAGCUGGUCUGAGAGGACGAUCAGCCACACUGGGACUGAGACACGGCCCAGACUCCUACGGGAGGCAGCAGUGGGGAAUUUUGGACAAUGGGCGCAAGCCUGAUCCAGCAAUGCCGCGUGCAGGAUGAAGGCCUUCGGGUUGUAAACUGCUUUUGUACGGAACGAAAAGCCCUGGGUUAAUACCCUGGGGUCAUGACGGUACCGUAAGAAUAAGCACCGGCUAACUACGUGCCAGCAGCCGCCGUAAAAC
rnacentral:rRNA from 1 species